AUAAGGAGCUGUACCCAUGUCUUAUAUAUACAUCUUGUGAGCCAAUAAGAGUGCAAGAAAUGGAAUAUUUUCCACACACAGAUGUAAUCUUUGCCAUGUCCAGGUAACAGAUUAAGAUCCUUCUUGUAGAUAUGAUGAUGGUGUAGAACAGUGAAUUUUGAAGAGCUAAAACCGGUACAUGGUUGGGGACGUGGCUCAACAUUGCCUUGUGGAAGAACCUCUGGUCUAAUUAAAAAACCAUUGAUGGGUAAAGCAUGGUCAGGGAAGAAAUGAAAGGAAAGAGAAGAGGGUAUAGAAGUUACUUCUUUAAAUUAUUGGAAGUGUGUUUUUUGUGCGAGAGAUUGGCUCCCGCAACAGCACCCUUGUUGAAGUCUCUCGCUUUCUCUGUAUAAAAUGGCCUACCUACUACCAAUGUUUUAUAAAUAGAACCAAAAGAGAGCACUAAUUGGGUUUCAUGUAGGUGUAGGAGACUCUUGGAUGGAGAACACUUUCCCCAAGUUAUUUUAUAAAAUUGCGUCAAUUAUUAUAAGAUGUGAUUGGAUACUAAAAA